rnacentral:rRNA from 1 species
GACGAACGCUGGCGGCGUGCCUAAUACAUGCAAGUCGAACGCUUCUUUCCUCCCGAGUGCUUGCACUCAAUUGGAAAGAGGAGUGGCGGACGGGUGAGUAACACGUGGGUAACCUACCCAUCAGAGGGGGAUAACACUUGGAAACAGGUGCUAAUACCGCAUAACAGUUUAUGCCGCAUGGCAUAAGAGUGAAAGGCGCUUUCGGGUGUCGUUGAUGGAUGGACCCGCGGUGCAUUAGCUAGUUGGUGAGGUAACGGCUCACCAAGGCCACGAUGCAUAGCCGACCUGAGGGGGUGAUCGGCCACACUGGGACUGAGACACGGCCCAGACUCCUACGGGAGGCAGCAGUAGGGAAUCUUCGGCAAUGGACGAAAGUCUGACCGAGCAACGCCGCGUGAGUGAAGAAGGUGUUCGGAUCGUAAAACUCUGUUGUUAGAGAAGAACAAGGACGUUAGUAACUGAACGUCCCCUGACGGUAUCUAACCAGAAAGCCACGGCUAACUACGUG